rnacentral:tRNA from 1 species
GGGGGUAUAGCUCAGUGGCAGAGUGACUGCUUAGCAUGCCUGAGGUCCUGUGUUCAAUCUCCAGUACCUCCA